rnacentral:rRNA from 1 species
UACGUAGGUGGCAAGCGUUGUCCGGAAUUAUUGGGCGUAAAGCGCGCGCAGGCGGUUCCUUAAGUCUGAUGUGAAAGCCCACGGCUCAACCGUGGAGGGUCAUUGGAAACUGGGGGACUUGAGUGCAGAAGAGGAGAGCGGAAUUCCACGUGUAGCGGUGAAAUGCGUAGAGAUGUGGAGGAACACCAGUGGCGAAGGCGGCUCUCUGGUCUGUAACUGACGCUGGAGGCGACGAAGGACAGUGGGGAGCAAACAGGAUUCAGAUACCCCGUAGUCC